UACGAAGGUGGCAAGCGUUGUUCGGAUUUACUGGGCGUACAGGGAGCGUAGGCGGUUGGGUAAGCCCUCCGUGAAAUCUCCGGGCCUAACCCGGGAAGGGCGGAGGGGACUGCUCGGCUAGAGGAUGGGAGAGGAGCGCGGAAUUCCCGGUGUAGCGGUGAAAUGCGUAGAGAUCGGGAGGAAGGCCGGUGGCGAAGGCGGCGCUCUGGAACAUUUCUGACGCUGAGGCUCGAAAGCGUGGGGAGCAAACAGG
rnacentral:rRNA from 1 species